GGAAAUGAGAUUUGGCUGGAAAAUUGUGCUUGGUAGCAUAAUUGGAUUCUUUGGUGCAGCAUGUGGCAGUGUGGGGGGUGUUGGUGGGGGUGGCAUUUUUGUUCCUAUGCUUACCCUGAUCAUUGGGUUUGAUGCCAAAUCAUCAACAGCUCUAUCAAAAUGUAUGAUCACAGGUGCAGCAGCUGCAACAGUUUACUACAAUUUAAAGUUAAGGCAUCCUACACUUGAGCUGCCUAUCAUUGACUAUGACCUGGCACUUCUAUUUCAACCAAUGCUGGUUCUGGGAAUUAGCUUGGGAGUUGCUCUCAAUGUGAUUUUUGCUGACUGGACAAUCACAAUUUUGCUAAUCAUUCUCUUCAUAGUCACGUCAUCCAAGGCAUUCUUCAAGGGUGUUGAAACAUGGAUUAUUCUCUUUUUAGUCACAUCAUCCAUGGCAUUCUUCAAGGGUGUUGAAACAUGGAAAAAAGAAACCAAAUUGAAAAAGGAGGCUACUAGACACUUGGAAUUUGUUGA
rnacentral:misc_RNA from 1 species